AUUGAACGCUGGCGGCAUGCUUUACACAUGCAAGUCGAACGGCAGCACAGCAGAGGUAACUCUGUGGGUGGCGAGUGGCGAACGGGUGAGUAAUACAUCGGAACGUACCCUGUUGUGGGGGAUAACUACGCGAAAGCGUAGCUAAUACCGCAUACGCCCUGAGGGGGAAAGCGGGGGACCCUAAAUAGAGCGCACUGGGGAGUGCGUUGUAUUUAGGGCCUCGCGCAAUAGGAGCGGCCGAUGUCGGAUUAGCUGGUUGGUGAGGUAAAGGCUUACCAAGGCGACGAUCCGUAGCUGGUCUGAGAGGAUGAUCAGCCACACUGGGACUGAGACACGGCCCAGACUCCUACGGGAGGCAGCAGUGGGGAAUUUUGGACAAUGGGGGCAACCCUGAUCCAGCCAUGCCGCGUGAGUGAAGAAGGCC
rnacentral:rRNA from 1 species